CUAGUUGUGUGUUUUUAGAAAAGAAAAUCAAAAACAAUCAGUAAAAAUGCUUUAGGAUAGGAGAUGAAAUGAUGGAACAGGAAUCAAUUUGACAUCUUUGCAAGCAUUCAGCUGUCUGCACCUAAGCAGACAGCAGCAUUAGCUAUUUUGGCAAUGUAAGCUACAGUAGCUUGUUUGUUGGAUGAAACAACACCAGCAUCCUUCUCUCCCAAUGUGCAUCAUUGAGCCUUGGCUGCCUGUCAAGGAAUGGAUUAGGCAUGACCUAAAGGACCUCUGGCCAACAUCCACCACUCAUUCAUCAAGCAGUGAAGUAAAGUUAUAGGGCAAAACUUUGUUCAUGUAUGGCACUGCAACUCACUACACUGCUAACAAUGAGCAAGACGAGCAAAGAAAAGAAAAUGGGAAAAGAGCCACCUUGGAGAACAUUCCAACAGGUUGGAAACCAACUAGCAAGGAACGCUAACAUCCAUGCCACCCAGGCUCCAGUGUCUAACGAGGGACCGGUGGGAAGGGAGGAGAAGGGAGAGGUGGGGUCCCUACAGCCCCCGCUCUUUGGCCCCUGACAGCACCUUCUAAUGAGAGACGCCACUCAUACACUGAUGCGCUCACUCCUUGCUGAUCUCCAUGCCUUUCUCUCCCCUCUCCACAGCCCCUCUCUCCUUCUAGUCAGUCAGCUCAGGCUGUACACCAGGGAAUGUCUCUGUUUUUCCCCUUGCACUGACUCCUUUUCUGUUCUCUCUCCCCUCCCUCUUGUUUCAUCUGUCUCAGGAUCCCUCACCUCAAGUCACCCACACCUCCCCUCUUUCCUGCCAUCUUCCCCUCAUCCUUGCUUUGAGCUUUGAAUACUUUACACAA